rnacentral:tRNA from 1 species
AUCUAAGUAGUUUAAAUAGAAUAUUGAUUUGUGGAGUCAAAGAUGUAGUAAUGCCUUAGAUA